UGGCGAACGGGUGAGUAACACGUGGGCAACCUGCCCUCAGCUUCGGGAUAACACUUGGAAACAGGUGCUAAUACCGGAUAAUAACUUGUCAUCGCAUGGUGGUGGGUUCAAAGUUUUUCGGCUGAGGAUGGGCCCGCGGCCUAUCAGCUUGUUGGUGGGGUAAUGGCCUACCAAGGCGACGACGGGUAGCCGGCCUGAGAGGGCGACCGGCCACACUGGGACUGAGACACGGCCCAG
rnacentral:rRNA from 1 species